UACGUAGGGUGCAAGCGUUAAUCGGAAUUACUGGGCGUAAAGCGUGCGCAGGCGGUUUUGUAAGUCAGAUGUGAAAUCCCCGGGCUUAACCUGGGAAUGGCAUUUGGGACUGCAAGGCUUGAGUGCGGCAGAGGAGACUGGAAUUCCUGGUGUAGCAGUGAAAUGCGUAGAUAUCGUUUGGAACGCCGAUGGUGAAAACAGGUCGCUGGGGCUGUGCUGACGCUGAGACACGAAAGCCAGGGGAGCGAACGGG
rnacentral:rRNA from 1 species